GACGAACGCUGGCGGCGUGCUUAACACAUGCAAGUCGAACGGAAAGGCCCUGCUUUUGUGGGGUGCUCGAGUGGCGAACGGGUGAGUAACACGUGAGUAACCUGCCCUUGACUUUGGGAUAACUUCAGGAAACUGGGGCUAAUACCGGAUAGGAGCUCCUGCUGCAUGGUGGGGGUUGGAAAGUUUCGGCGGUUGGGGAUGGACUCGCGGCUUAUCAGCUUGUUGGUGGGGUAGUGGCUUACCAAGGCUUUGACGGGUAGCCGGCCUGAGAGGGUGACCGGCCAGAUUGGGACUGAGAUACGGCCCAGACUCCGACGGGAGGCAGCAGUGGGGAAUACUGCACAAUGGGCGGAAGCCUGAUGCAGCAACGCCGCGUGGGGGAGGACGGCCUUCGGGUUGUAAACCGCUUUCGCCUGUGACGAAGCGUGAGUGACGGUAAUGGGUAAAGAAGCACCGGCUAACUACGUG
rnacentral:rRNA from 1 species